CAGGAAAUAGCUUGAUGUAAAAUACCAGCUUUGGGUGUUGGGGAGAGAGGUUUGAGUCCUCUUUUUCUGA
rnacentral:tRNA from 1 species